GAUGAACGUUGGCGGCGUGCUUAAUACAUGCAAGUCGAACGAGGAACCUUGUACUUGUACUUGGUUUCCUAGUGGCGAACGGGUGAGUAACGCGUUGGUAACCUGCCCCGAAGUGGGGGAUAACAGUUCGAAAGGACUGCUAAUACCUCAUAAUAUCAAUUGGGUUAGAUACCUUUUGAUCAAAGGCGAAAGCCGCUUUGGGAGGGGCCUGCGUCCCAUCAGCUAGUUGGUAGGGUAAUGGCCUACCAAGGCUAAGACGGGUAGGGGACCUAAGAGGGUGACCCCCCACACUGGCACUGAAACACGGGCCAGACACCUACGGGAGGCUG
rnacentral:rRNA from 1 species